CCUACGGGUGGCAGCAGUGGGGGAUAUUGCACAAUGGGGGGAACCCUGAUGCAGCGACGCCGCGUGGGUGAAGAAGCACCUCGGCGCGUAAAGCCCUGUCAGCAGGGAAGAAAAUGACGGUACCUGAAGAAGAAGCCCCGGCUAACUACGUGCCAGCAGCCGCGGUAAUACGUAGGAUGCGAGCGUUAUCCGGAUUUAUUGGGUUUAAAGGGUGCGUAGGCGGAGUGUUAAGUCUGCGGUAAAAGCCCGGGGCUAAACCCCGGCGUGCCGUUGAAACUGGCUGGCUUGAGAUGACGAGAGGUAUGCGGAAUGCGCAGUGUAGCGGUGAAAUGCGUAGAUAUUGCAAAGAACACCGAUUGCGAAGGCAGCAUACCGGCGGCGAUCUGACGCUGAGGCACGAAGGCGUGGGUAUCGAACAGGAUUAGAUACCCUAGUAGUC
rnacentral:rRNA from 1 species